GAUGAACGCUGGCGGCGUGCCUAAUACAUGCAAGUCGAGCGAACAGACGAGGAGCUUGCUCCUCUGACGUUAGCGGCGGACGGGUGAGUAACACGUGGAUAACCUACCUAUAAGACUGGGAUAACUUCGGGAAACCGGCGCUAAUAGCGGAUAAUAUAUUGAACCGCAUGGUUCAAUAGUGAAAGACGGUUUUGCUGUCACUUAUAGAUGGAUCCGCGCCGCAUUAGCUAGUUGGUAAGGUAACGGCUUACCAAGGCAACGAUGCGGAGCCGACCUGAGCGAGUGAUAGGCCACACUGGAGCUUAGACACGGUCCAGGCUCCUGCGGGAGGCCGCAGUAGGCAAUCUUCCGCAAUGGGCGAAAGCCUGGCGGAACAGCGCCACGUGAGUGAUGAAGGUGUUCGGAUCGUAAAGCUCUGUUAUUAGGGAAGAACAAAUGUGUAAAUAACUAUGCACGUCUUGACGGUACCUAAUCAGAAAGCCCCGGCUAACUACGUG
rnacentral:rRNA from 1 species